GAGGACAUGACACAGGGGAGAAAUUAACUGUAAUAACUCGGGGAACACCUGAACAUACCACAAGCUUGGUGCACACGUGUAAUCCAAAAGGUGAACUAAAGGACACCAAGGUAGAGGAGAGGCCUUCUUCAAAGAAGAACCCCAAA